rnacentral:rRNA from 1 species
CAUGCCGUAAACGUUGUCAACUUGAUGUGGGGGGAUUUAGUCCUCUCCGUAUCGAAGCUAACGCGAUAAGUUGACCGCCUGGGGACUACGGCCGCAAGGCUAAAACUCAAAGGAAUUGAC